ensembl:snRNA U6 U6 spliceosomal RNA
CAGUACAUAUACUAAAAUUGGAACAUUGGAACCAUAACAGAGAAGAUUAGCAUGGCUCCUGCAAAAGAUGACAGGCAAAUUCAUCAAGCAUUCCUCUUAUUA